rnacentral:misc_RNA from 1 species
GAGGAAAGUCCGGGCUCCAUAGGACAGGGUGCCAGGUAACGCCUGGGGGGCGCGAGUCUACGGCCAGUGCCACAGAAAACAAACCGCCUACGUUCUCGUUGCGAGAACCGGCAAGGGUGAAAAGGUGCGGUAAGAGCGCACCGCGUCUCUGGCAACAGCGACGGCACGGUAAACCCCACCCGGAGCAAGACCAAAUAGAGGAGCACAACGUGUGGUCCGCACGGCUCCUGGGUAGGUCGCUACAGGCGUCUGGUGACAGGCGUCGCAG